rnacentral:rRNA from 1 species
UGGGGAAUUUUGGACAAUGGGCGAAAGCCUGAUCCAGCAAUGCCGCGUGUGUGAAGAAGGCCUUCGGGUUGUAAAGCACUUUUGUCCGGAAAGAAAUCCUUGGCUCUAAUACAGUCGGGGGAUGACGGUACCGGAAGAAUAAGCACCGGCUAACUACGUGCCAGCAGCCGCGGUAAUACGUAGGGUGCAAGCGUUAAUCGGAAUUACUGGGCGUAAAGCGUGCGCAGGCGGUUUGCUAAGACCGAUGUGAAAUCCCCGGGCUCAACCUGGGAACUGCAUUGGUGACUGGCAGGCUAGAGUAUGGCAGAGGGGGGUAGAAUUCCACGUGUAGCAGUGAAAUGCGUAGAGAUGUGGAGGAAUACCGAUGGCGAAGGCAGCCCCUGGGCCAAUACUGACGCUCAUGCACGAAAGCGUGGGGAGCAAACAGGAUUAGAUACCCUGGUAGUCCACGCCCUAAACGAUGUCAACUAGUUGUUGGGGACUUCAUUUCCUUAGUAACGUAGCUAACGCGUGAAGUUGACCGCCUGGGGAGUACGGUCGCAAGAUUAAAACUUAAAGGAAUUGACGGGGUCAUAGCUGUUUCCU